rnacentral:tRNA from 14 species
GGGGUGUUAGCUCAGCUGGUUAGAGCGCCGGCCUGUCACGUCGGAGGUCGAGGGUUCAAGUCCCUUACAUCCCGCCA